rnacentral:lncRNA from 13 species
AUCCUAACCCUCUCCUAACUCUCCAUGAUCCUAACUCUCCAUGAUCCUAACCCUCUAACAACUCUCCAUGAUCCUAACCCUCUCCCAACUCUCCAUGAUCCUAACCCUCUCCCAACUCUCCAUGAUCCUAACCCUCUCCCAACUCUCCAUGAUCCUAACCCUCUCCUAACUCUCCAUGAUCCUAACUCUCCAUGAUCCUAACCCUCUAACAACUCUCCAUGAUCCUAACCCUCUCCCAACUCUCCAUGAUCCUAACCCUCUCCCAACUCUCCAUGAUCCUAACCCUCUCCCAACUCUCCAUGAUCCUAACCCUCUCCUAACUCUCCAUGGUCCUAACACUUUCCAUGGUCCUAACACGUUCCUGACUCUCCAUGGUCCUAACCCUGUCCUAACCCUGUCCUAACACUUUCCUGACUCUCCAUGGUCCUAACCCUGUCCUAACCCUCUCCUGGCCAUGCCUUCCUGGUGCUCCAGCAGCACUGAGCUCUGACUCUGACCCCAGUCAACCGGCCAUAGCCCUCCAUUAUUAAAGAGAUGUCUGGUCUCACAUGGCAGAUGAUAAACACUCUGUUAUCAUGUAGGAUCCAGUGUCUCAUUACCACACCAGGGUUAAGGAGUUAUUACCUCCAUAGCUCAGUCCUGCUUGUAUCUGACCUGGGUUCAAAUACUGUUUGAAAUCAUUCCAAAUACUUUAUCUGGAUUUGAUUGAGCUUGUCUGGAGUAAUACAACAAAUUGGUUGCUAAUUGGGCAACCCCCAUCCCUUUGGCACUCCAGGCAGGCUAAAGCAAACGCUCCAAGUAUUUGAAAGAUUUGAAAUAGUAUUUGAACCCCGGUCUGAUAGCCUGCCCAUUUGUCAUCCAGGAAGUGGCAGGGAGCUGACUGAUUGGGCCCGAGCAGGGAGAGAGAUGUGACAAGCUCCAAUCCAGGGGAAACUGAAGCCAGGUUGGUUAAGUGGUGGUGAGUUUCCAUGCAGUGCUCUGCUCUGCGUCCCUGCGCAUCUCAGGUUCUUUAUCCAUGUUGAGUCCCUGCUAUGUCCCCGUGUCAACGCUGAAAAGGCCUUCUUUUAUUUAUCUGUCUGCUUUGGCGCUCACUCAACCACACAGAGAAAGAAAACAAAGCUGUCUGUCUGUCUGUCUGUCUGUGGGUGUUGAAGUGAAAGACAGAGGUGUGGUCACAUGGACUAAGGAGCACUUCAUAGCCGGAACAUACACUGAGUGUACAAAACAUUAAGAACACCUGUUCUGAUUCAGAGGGGUUGGGUUAAAUGCGGAAGACACAUUUCAGUUGAAUACAUUCAGUUGGACAACUGACUUGGUAUCCCCCUUUCUCUUUCCUUCCAUGACAUAGACGUACCAGGCAGAGAAAGGUUAAAGAAGGAUUUUUAAGCCUUUAAACAAUUGAGACAUGGAUUGUGUGUGCGAAUGGGCAAGACAAAAGAUUGAAGUGCCUUUGAAAUAGGUAUGGUAGUAGGUGCCAGGCGCACCAGUUUGUGUCAAGAACUGCAAUGCUGCUGGGUUUUUCCACUCGCAACCGUUUCCCGUGUGUAUCAAGAAUGAUCCACCCCCCAAAAGACAUCCAGACAAUUUGACACAACUUUGGGAAGCAUUCCUGCAGAACGCUUUUGACACCUUGUAGAGUCCUUACCCCGACGAAUUGAGUCUGUUCUGAAGGCAAAAGCAGACGCUCUUAUCCAGAGCAACUUACAGGAGCAAUUAGAGAUAAGGGCUCAUUGACAGAUUUUUCACCUAGUCGGCUCGGGGAUUCGAACCAGCGGAAUGACAUGCUUUGAGCACUACUGUAAAGUGCUAUUUACAUGUGAAAAAUGAAUGUCGUAUGCUGCAUUUGCUAUCGGCCUGUUGUUUACCUUUUUUGUUGGUGACACUUUGAUAUCUUGAUAAUAUGCAGCUGUUUAAAGGGCAAAUCCACAGAUCAAACAAUAACAAAAUGGUUGCCCUGCCCCUGUUUUGGUAAAAAGCUGAGGGAUGGGCCUGGAGAAAUGUAACCACUCUCAGAUUAAUAGACAGAGCUAUGAAUGCAAGGACUGACCCUCCAUUAUAUAAAACAUAUUGUUUUAACCAUGUUAUGAGGCUAUACAGUGUUUGUUUACAUUUACAAUGUUUACAAACAUUGUAAUAAAAAAACGUAUAUUUUGGGUUCUCAUGGAGUGUGACAGUUAAACUAUGCUUAUGAGACAUUUAUAAGUUAUAUUCUUCAAGAAUCAAUAUAUAUAUAUACAUAUAUAUAUAUCCAUUGAUUCUUGAAUAAUA